UCUUUAAUGGAGAGUUUGAUCCUGGCUCAGGACGAACGCUGGCGGCGUGCCUAAUACAUGCAAGUCGAGCGGGGUUAGUUAGAAGCUUGCUUCUAACUAACCUAGCGGCGGACGGGUGAGUAACACGUAGGCAACCUGCCCACAAGACAGGGAUAACUACCGGAAA
rnacentral:rRNA from 1 species